CUACUUGUUAGGAGGCAUUUGGGAGGGAAAUGAGGAACUGUUUCAAGGAAGCCAGGAAGAAUUUGUCAGUGGGAGCAUUGCUGUUUUCAAGGAAGAAUAUUCAGAAAGAUCAGUUAUGACAGUUGGAGGUGGUCUUAUAUACAGGAUGGGCGGGGCUAACGUGACGUUUGCGCAUGCGCGAAGCUCAUUUUGUUCCUGAAGGCUUCGGAGAAGGACCUUGUUGUUGCAGCUCCCUCGUAGUGGUCUCCGUCGGAUGGGCAGGCCUCAAUUUCGCUCCCAAGGGUCCACCAUUGCGCUGAAGACACUCCUUCUGCCUCGAUGCCCGAAUGCAGAUUUCUGUCUCUCAGGAACGUUUGUGGUGUAGAAUACAUUCAGAAAGAUCAGUUAUGACAGUUGGAGGUGGUCUUAUAUACAGGAUGGGCGGGGCUAAUGGAAAUGUGAAAUAUGGACUUCCGGCAGUGACGUCAUCGUGGAGAGGGUGAGGAAAUGGGGCACCAUUUUUGGAGCCCAAAAAACUCUGUAGCAGAAGCUCUUUUAGGACUUUCUUACUCAAUCCCGUAGAGCUUGGAAAUAAAAGGGGAAGUUCUGAAGCCCCUGGGUGAUACGCUAUCGACUGGGAGGAAAAAGGACAAAUCCUUUAAAAUCUGGUGGAGAGGAAAUCGACUUCUAAGGCAGAUAGGAGCGAUGGUGGCUGAAUAGAGCGAAGCAAAGAGUGAACUAAGCAGUUUCGAGUGGCAGACUGAAAUAGACCCAGAAGAAGGAAAUCGGAAUACACGGAGAAGCGCGAAGUGAGGAGGGUGCAAAAGAGAUGGAGAAACAAGUGGCGGCGGACUAAAAGGGAAGUGCAACAGGGAGAGAAAAAGAGAUCAGCACGAGGGAAGGAGAAUCCGAGGGAGUGAGUCAGGAGAACCGGAGGAGGAACAGCGACAGAGUUAAGACUCCGAGACAAGACUGAGAGAACUGGAGAAGGUGAAAAACUGGAGAAACUAAGAGAUAUUCGACUGGAUCUGGGGGAGGUGCCCUUGUGGAUGGACUCUUAUACCCAGAGGGAGGAGGGAAAGAUAUUCGACUGGAUUGUGGAUGGACUCUUAUACCUUGAG